AGGGAGUUCGGGCCGGCUGGUGAGCGGGGAGGGGUCGGGUCGACCGAGGAAUCUGAAAAAUGCAGGUCCCUAGAAAUUAGGUUUACAAAAUAAUACACAUUUAUUUAGAACAUAACUAUAUAAAGCUAUAAAAAUCCAAUCUGUAACUUAAAAAUAUAUAGAUUAAAAUUAAGGCCUGGCUCCAUUAUCCUGCGGCGUCGCUCACAGAGCCCUGGGGAGACAGACGCUGUUCCCAUUUCACAGGGGCUGACUCUUGGGGCCCAGAUUGAUGGACCUGGGAGGCCGGAGAGAGAGGCUGAGGACAGUAGAGUGCCUUGCUUGGACCAGAUGCUGGAGCCAGCAUGGGGAUGACCUGAAGCCUGCCCUUGAGAAGGGAAUUCUGGGGCUAAAACCAAAAGCUUGAAAACAGACAGAUGACGUGCAGAAAACUUGGCUGAUCGUUACAAAUUUGAUGAAGAUUUUGUGUCCUGACUCUGAAAGAGUUUCUAAAAUAUAGAUUUAGUUUUUACAGAGAGAGAGGGAACACUUCCAAGCAAGCUGUUUAAUUUCACAG
ensembl:lncRNA